rnacentral:lncRNA from 1 species
AGCGGGGCUGGGCGGGGCUCGGGGAUCCCUGGCACCUCGCGGAUGGCUGCGCGGCGGGAGGGAAGGAAGUAGCCGUCCGUCCGCGCCUUUGUCCCACGGGCCCUGGUGGCUUCCUGACCCUCUUGGGGCACAGAGCCCACUGGAAAUCCUGUCUCUUCUGCCUGAGCGCAGCGGCCGCUUCCCCUCUCUUGAUCUUGGCAGUACCUGGUUAGGAGGCCUGAGACGCUUUGCCAGACUUGGGGCUGGGCUGAGCGUUUAAACCAAGUCGGGGCUCUGGGGACUGAUCUGAGGGGCACAGCCCCGCCCACGUGCCUGUCAGGCCACCGGGGGACGGGGGCAGGCGCUCCGUGCCACCAGUGUCCAAGUGCAGCUACCAGGUAGAGACGAGUGCCUGUCUUGACCUCGUCGUGACCUGCGGCUGUGUCACCCUGGGGGGGUCCCAGCCCCCUGAGCGUCCCGUGGGGAGCCAGGAUUGGCCUCAGACCGGCCUGGCCCUGACUGGCCAACGAACUGUCCUGCAGGCCAGCGGAGCCUGCACCACCGCGGAGAUGCCCUGGAGACGCUGGUCCUCCUGAACCCGUCAGACAAGUCCCUGUGUGAUGAGCUCCGGAACCUUCUGCUGGUCCCUGCCCCUCAUAAGCUGCUGGUGCUGGCCGGGCCCUGCCUGGAGGAGACCGGGGAGCUGCUGCUGCAGACGGGUGGCUUCUCGUUCCACCACUUUCUGCAGGUCCUGGACGAGAGGGAGGUGAGCUGCCCACCCCCAGCGCAGUGCUGCCGCCCUCCGUGGCCCGGGUCAGGGACCAGUGCCACUUUCCAGGGAGGGGCGUGUACGGCAGGUUUGGUGGCUGCACUGUCACCCCAGCAGUCUGGGAGAAGGGGCAGGAGCCCUGCCCGGGCAAACGAGCAGAGUAGUGAGCAGAGAGCCUGGCUCAUAGUAACAAAAAAGGCAGAGGAUGUGGCUCCUAGGGUAGGCUGGGUUCAGUCCUCAAACAAACAGCUGCAGAUAAAUAAACGGCUUCCACAGUGGGAGGCUGGUGGUGCGGCCACCACCCUGCGCCUCAGCAGGCGUCUCUGAGGCCAGAAGGGGGGCCCAGGUUCCAGCUCCCAGAUGAGAUGGAGCCGCGUGGCGUGGGGCACAUGGAUGAAGAAAGCAGGACUGGGUCAGGGUCCUGGAGGGUGUGGUCAGACAGAAGAGCAAGCUCAAAGGCCCUGGGGCCAGGAGAGGAUGCCAGGGCCCAAGGGUGGUCCCGGGCAGGCCUGGGCUGUGCCCAGAGAGGAGCAGGAAGGGGUGUUCUGGCUGGGCUUUCCGGCUCCAGAAGCCCUUUCCUGCUCCGCGCCGCAGAUCCAGGACCUGUUGGGCCACACC